rnacentral:misc_RNA from 1 species
AACAGUGUUAUAGAAAAUGAACUCAAAGGCCCAGCUAGUAAUUAUGUGACUUGAAGGAUCAAAGGCCUUGUGGAAAAUAUGAUGCAGUUAGCCCACCCAUUGCUUUAAUGAUUGCUCUAUAUUUUCUCAUGCAUUUGGUAGCUAAUUCCUUCUACUUCUAGUUGUUGCGAUGCUAUUAAUUCCAGUGAACUUUAAGUUGGUUUCUGGUUGAAGCUGUGGCCCUGUAGGCUGAAGAUAUAGUAAUGACAUUAAGACUUUCACAUGCACCGGUUUAAGGCCACUCUAUGUAGAUAGCUCACCAAAAACCCAUAAGUUUUUCCUCCAAAGGAAGAGGAGAAGAGAGAAGAGGAGAACUUAUCUUUUGUUCUUUGCCAAAAGAUGAGUAGAAUUAUGACCGCACUUCUUUAAAGGGCCCUUUAACAGCUGUCUUUCCAUCUUGAAACCCAAGGCUGUUUUGGUCUCCUCCGCAUAUUCCACUCAACUAUUGCCUAUUGCAGGUUGCAUUGGUACACCUCUCUCCCCACUUCCCUCAAUAAUAUCACUUCUUUCUCUGUGUUUGUGCCUUUGCAGCAGGAGGUGUUUGUACAUUUAACAGUCUCUCCUUGUACUCUUAUUUUUCAGGGAAUACCCACUUUUCUACUCAAGAAACUAACACUUUUUCACCUUAAAUAUUCUCUUGCCAAAUGGGUAUUCAUUACUGUUUAACUCCACCCUGCAAUUCUAGCAAAGAAACAUUACACCACAAUUACUGCUUGAAAGUUGGAUUUUUGCAAUGACAUAUCUAUA